rfam:Triticum aestivum genome assembly, contig: Triticum_aestivum_CS42_TGACv1_scaffold_112398_2AS
GGUGUACUCCCUCCGUUCCGAAUUACUUGUCUUAGAUUUGUCUAGAUACGGAGGUAUCUAGCAUUUAGAUACAUCCGUAUCUGGACAAAUCCAAGAUAAGUAAUUCGGAACGGAGGGAGUACGUA